rnacentral:rRNA from 1 species
AACGAACGCUGGCGGCAUGCCUAACACAUGCAAGUCGAACGAUACCUCCGUGGCUAGUGGCGCACGGGUGCGGAACGCGUGGGAACCUGCCCGUAGGCUUCGAAUAACUCUGAGAAAUUGGUGCUAAUAUCGGGCAAUGUCUUCGGAUAAAAGAUUUAUCCCCUUUGGGUGGGCCCGCGUUGGUUUGGCUUGUUGGUGGGGUAAAGGCCUACCAAGGCGUCGAUCCUUAGCUGGGCUGUGAGGCUGGUCAGCGACACUGGGACUGGGCCACGGCCCAGACUGCUGGGGGAGGGGGCAAUGGGGGAUAUAGGGCAAUGGGCGGAAGGCAGAACCGCCACGGCCGGGAGAGUGAUUAAGGCGUUAGAGUUGUAAAGCUGUUUUACCCGGGAUGAUAAUGACGGUACCGGAAGAAUAAGCCCCGGCUAACUCCGUG